rnacentral:antisense_RNA from 1 species
CUUCAGCGAGCCGAGCCGCAGCGGGCGGUCCGGCGACCGGUCCUUGCCGUAGGUCGCGAUGAGCGCAUUGGCCUC